GAUAGAUAGGCAUGCGUUCCAUUAGGCAGUUGGCGGGGUAACGGCCCACCAAACCGACGAUGGAUAGGGGUUCUGAGAGGAAGGUCCCCCACAUUGGUACUGAGACACGGACCAAACUCCUACGGGAGGCAGCAGUGAGGAAUAUUGGUCAAUGGGCGUAAGCCUGAACCAGCCAAGUCGCGUGAGGGAUGAAGGUUCUAUGGAUCGUAAACCUCUUUUAUAAGGGAAUAAAGUGCGGGACGUGUCCCGUUUUGUAUGUACCUUAUGAAUAAGGAUCGGCUAACUCCGUGCCAGCAGCCGCGGUAAUACGGAGGAUCCGAGCGUUAUCCGGAUUUAUUGGGUUUAAAGGGUGCGUAGGCGGCCUUUUAAGUCAGCGGUGAAAGUCUGUGGCUCAACCAUAGAAUUGCCGUUGAAACUGGGAGGCUUGAGUAUGUUUGAGGCAGGCGGAAUGCGUGGUGUAGCGGUGAAAUGCUUAGAUAUCACGCAGAACCCCGAUUGCGAAGGCAGCCUGCCAAGCCAUGACUGACGCUGAUGCACGAAAGCGUGGGGAUCAAACAGGAUUAGAUACCCUGGUAGUCCACGCAGUAAACGAUGAUCACUAGCUGUUUGCGAUACAGUGUAA
rnacentral:rRNA from 1 species